rnacentral:rRNA from 1 species
UACGGAGGGUGCAAGCGUUGUUCGGAAUAACUGGGCGUAAAGCGCGCGCAGGCGGGUUUGUAAGUCAUCUGUGAAAGCCCUGGGCUCAACCUAGGAAUUGCAGGUGAAACUACAAAUCUUGAAUACUGGAGAGGAUGGUGGAAUUCCUGGUGUAGAAGUGAAAUUCAUAGAUAUCAGGAGGAACACCCGAGGCGAAGGCG